ensembl:lncRNA CIBAR1-DT CIBAR1 divergent transcript
GUGCAUGAAGGCUUCUUAGAUGAAGAGUAAUGGGGAUGUCUUACACAGCAAGAUGAGAAAACACAGACCACUUGGCUCUCUAGCGAGGACCAGAAUUUGAGUCAAAAUUAUAUGCAUGUCCCAGCAAAGCUUCGCAAAGAUGUCAGUAUUAAUUGUCACCAUCCUCCAGGGAGAAAGCAACAGCCCACAAUUGCCUGCAUUUUCUUUCCUCUUCAAAACCACUUCUGCUCCAAAGACCAUGAACCUGAACUGAAGAAACGACUCCUUCCUGCUGGUGUGAGAUAAUUCAGUCUCCAUGAUGUCUUAAUCCUGGGCCUCCCUUAAUUGACUUCUAACUGUGCUGAACUGUGGCUGCUAGGAGUUGCAAUGUGGAUCGCAAUUUACAAGGAAGAGAAAAAGACCGGUCUCUGUUUGGAAAUUACAAACAUAGAAGAACUUAGAAACAAUGGGUUUCUAGAUUGGGUGGAAGGACUGGCUUGGGAUCCUGAGAGAGCAAGAAAAGUUUACCGGGAGCUUCAGAAAAAGUUAUUCAUCAUUUUUGGAGUGGAUAUUCAGAAGUGACUUCCCUCUUUUGCUCUGGUGCCUGGCUACUUCAAGAGUUGAGCUAAUCACAGGGAAGAUUCAGUCUCAGUUCAGCUGCCUCAUUUGAUCAGCUCAAGACUGAGUCCAACAAAAGUGGUCUGUCUAAUGAAACUCAUUUUCAUUUUUUCUCAUUAGUCUAUACACGAUUGAGACUGUAGAACGACAAAAGAAUAAAAAGAAGAAUGACAAUUAAAAAUCAUUUUCUCUG